rnacentral:rRNA from 1 species
CGGAGGGUGCAAGCGUUGUCCGGAUUUAUGGGUUUAAAGGGUGCGUAGGCGGCUAUUUAAGUCAGUGGUGAAAUCCUGCAGCUCAACUGUAGAACAGCCAUUGAUACUGAAUAGCUUGAGUACAGACGAGGUAGGCGGAAUUUAUGGUGUAGCGGUGAGAUGCAUAGAUACCAUAAAGAACCCCUAUUGCGAAGGCAGCUUACUAGGCUGUAACUGACGCUGAGGCACGAAAGCGUGGGGAUCAAACAGGAUUAGAUACCCUGGUAGUCCACGCCGUAAACGAUGAUUACUCGAUGUUCGUGAUAUACAGUGAGCGUCCAAGCGAAAGCGUUAAGUAAUCCACCUGGGAAGUACGAUCGCAAGAUUG